AGGGUUUGAUCCUGGCUCAGGAUGAACGCUAGCGGCAGGCCUAAUACAUUCAAGUCGAACGGAUAUAGGGACUUCGGUUUCUAUAUUAGUGGCGCACGGGUGCGUAACGCGUAUGCAACCUACCUUUUAUUGGGGGAUAGCCCGUCGAAAGACGGAUUAAUACCGCAUAAUAUCACUUGAGGGCAUCUGAGGGUGAUUAAAGCUGAGGCGAUAAGAGAUGGGCAUGCGUGCCAUUAGCUAGUUGGUUGAGGUAACGGCUCACCAAGGCGACGAUGGCUAGGGGUUCUGAGAGGAUGAUCCCCCACACUGGUACUGAGAUACGGACCAGACUCCUACGGGAGGCAGCAGUAGGGAAUAUUGGGCAAUGGACGCAAGUCUGACCCAGCCAUGCCGCGUGCAGGAUGAAGGCCUUCUGGGUUGUAAACUGCUUUUAUCUAGGAAGAAAAAACCCCUGCGGGGGGAACUGACGGUACUAGGUGAAUAAGCACCGGCUAACUCCGUGCCAGCAGCCGCGGUAAUACGGAGGGUGCAAGCGUUGUCCGGAUUUAUUGGGUUUAAAGGGUGCGUAGGCGGCUUUAUAAGUCCGUGGUGAAAGCCAACAGCUCAACUGUUGAACUGCCAUGGAUACUGUAAGGCUUGAGUACAGACGAGGUAGGCGGAAUGGAUGGUGUAGCGGUGAAAUGCAUAGAUACCAUCCAGAACACCGAUUGCGUAGGCAGCUUACUAGGCUGUAACCGACGCUGAGGCACGAAAGCGUGGGGAGCGAACAGGAUUAGAUACCCUGGUAGUCCACGCUGUAAACGAUGAUUACUCGAUGUUGGCGAUACACAGUCAGCGUCUUAGCGAAAGCGUUAAGUAA
rnacentral:rRNA from 1 species